CGGUGCGGGCGGUUCCUGCCCGGGCAAGCCUGUCCGCUGCGGACUCGGUGUAGCUUGGCAGACAGCUCUGAUUUGGAGUUGCUCUGAUUACAGGUCUAUCUCCAUUGGUCCCUUUUGUAUUUGGACUCGAACUCAAUCUCACCCCCAUUGCAGUGGUCUUGAUUAAAGUCUUUCCUGCUGUUUUUUAAAGAGCAUCCGGUGAAUAGUAUCUCUUACAGCCUCCCAGCGCCUUGGGAGACCUAACCUCAAUAAUCCUCAGUUACAUGCUAGGUAAAAUGGGUAACAGCUCUCAGACAUCACACAGGAGCCAGGGAAAUGAUGAAACAGAGCCAGUUCUUACUCCCAGAGCUCUAGUUUGAAAAACCACCCGGAGCAUAGCAACCUGGUGUCAGACUCAGUUCUGGAUCUGCAGAGAUGGGAGAUCAG